CAGCAUGUCUCAUCAAGGACUGUGACUUGAAGUAGUCACAGGGUCUCCAAUUACAAGCAAGAGAAUGUUGGAAUGAAUGACUGUGACAACUCAGGUCACCAAGUAUCUGUAGCUGCCACUCAACUUUCCUAUGUUC